rnacentral:tRNA from 1 species
GCCUGGGUGGCUCAGUCAAUUGAGCAUCCGACUUGGGCUCAGGUCAUGAUCUCGUGGUUCGUGGGUUCGAGCCCCGCAUCGGGCU